GGGAGAGGCAGACAAGGAAGAGCUAUGCUGUAAGAAGCUUGGGCCAGGUAUGAAAAAAUCAUCAGUAUCAUACUUAGAAACUACUCAUCUAAAACCCCAGCUAUCUCUGCUCAGAACCCUC